CCUANGGGUGGCUGCAGUCGAGAAUCUUCGGCAAUGGGCGCAAGCCUGACCGAGCGACGCCGCGUGUGGGAUGAAGGCCUUCGGGUUGUAAACCACUGUCAGAGGGGAUGAAAUGCAGGUGGGUUCUCCCAUCUGUUUGACAUAGCCUCAGAGGAAGGACGGGCUAAGUUCGUGCCAGCAGCCGCGGUAAGACGAACCGUCCGAACGUUAUUCGGAAUCACUGGGCUUAAAGGGUGCGUAGGCGGCGCGGAAAGUUGGGUGUGAAAUCCCUCGGCUCAACCGAGGAACUGCGCCCAAAACUGCCGUGCUCGAGGGAGAUAGAGGUGAGCGGAACUUAGGGUGGAGCGGUGAAAUGCGUUGAUAUCCUAAGGAACACCGGUGGCGAAAGCGGCUCACUGGAUCUCUUCUGACGCUGAGGCACGAAAGCUAGGGUAGCGAACGGGAUUAGAUACCCUUNUANUC
rnacentral:rRNA from 1 species